rnacentral:rRNA from 1 species
UACGGGGGGGGCAAGCGUUGUUCGGAAUUACUGGGCGUAAAGGGCUCGUAGGCGGCCAACUAAGUCAGACGUGAAAUCCCUCGGCUUAACCGGGGAACUGCAUCUGAUACUGGAUGGCUUGAGUUCGGGAGAGGGAUGCGGAAUUCCAGGUGUAGCGGUGAAAUGCGUAGAUAUCUGGAGGAACACCGGUGGCGAAGGCAGCUCGCUGGGACGGUACUGACGCUGAGACGCGAAAGCGUGGGGAGCAAACAGG